rnacentral:rRNA from 1 species
UACAGAGGUCUCAAGCGUUGUUCGGAUUCAUUGGGCGUAAAGGGUGCGUAGGUGGCGCUGUAAGUCAGGUGUGAAAUUUCGGAGCUCAACUCCGAAACUGCAUUUGAUACUGCGGUGCUUGAGGACUGGAGAGGAGACUGGAAUUCACGGUGUAGCAGUGAAAUGCGUAGAUAUCGUGAGGAAGACCAGUGGCGAAGGCGGGUCUCUGGACAGUUCCUGACGCUGAGGCACGAAGGUCAGGGGAGCAAACGGG